rnacentral:lncRNA from 1 species
UUCUGGAUGGAUGGCGAUUGAUGCUGGAUUAAGAGCUCAUUCGACGUUCUAGAAUAUCUAUUUAAUCGGAUUAAUGACUGCUGCUUCUACAUAUAGUUUAGCAGUGCAUUUAUUAUUGGAUCCAUGGGAGCUAAUUUGGUUCAAAGGGCGAAUUUAAUUCCUCGUUUCUUGAGUGUUUCAAUUUGCCUGCAUGAACAGGGUGAUGCGACAUUGUGAUCAAUAACUU